rnacentral:rRNA from 1 species
AGUGAACGCUGGCGGUAGGCCUAACACAUGCAAGUCGAACGGCAGCACAGUAAGAGCUUGCUCUUACGGGUGGCGAGUGGCGGACGGGUGAGGAAUACAUCGGAAUCUACUUUUUCGUGGGGGAUAACGUAGGGAAACUUACGCUAAUACCGCAUACGACCUACGGGUGAAAGCAGGGGAUCUUCGGACCUUGCGCGAUUGAAUGAGCCGAUGUCGGCUUAGCUAGUUGGCGGGGUAAAGGCCCACCAAGGCGACGAUCCGUAGCUGGUCUGAGAGGAUGAUCAGCCACACUGGAACUGAGACACGGUCCAGACUCCUACGGGAGGAGGCAGUGGGGAAUAUUGGACAAUGGGCGCAAGCCUGAUCCAGCCAUACCGCGUGGGUGAAGAAGGCCUUCGGGUUGUAAAGCCCUUUUGUUGGGAAAGAAAAGCAGCAGGUUAAUACCCCGCUGUUCCGACGGUACCCAAAGAAUAAGCACCGGCUAACUUCGUG